GACGAACGCUGGCGGCGUGCUUAACACAUGCAAGUCGAACGGAAAGGCUCCAGCUUGCUGGAGUGCUCGAGUGGCGAACGGGUGAGUAACACGUGGGCAAUCUGCCCUGCACUCUGGGAUAAGCCUGGGAAACUGGGUCUAAUACCGGAUAGGACCUUUCUCCUCAUGGGGUUUGGUGGAAAGUUUUUCGGUUCAGGAUGAGCCCGCGGCCUAUCAGCUUGUUGGUGGGGUAAUGGCCUACCAAGGCGAAGACGGGUAGCCGGCCUGAGAGGGUGAUCGGCCACCUUGGGACUGAGAUACGGCCCAGACUCCUACGUGAGGCAGCAGUGGGGAAUAUUGCACAAUGGGCGAAAGCCUGAUGCAGCGACGCCGCGUGCGGGAUGACGGCCUUCGGGUUGUAAACCUCUUUCAGUAGGGACGAAGCGCAAGUGACGGUACCUGCAGAAGAAGCACCGGCUAACUACGUG
rnacentral:rRNA from 1 species